ACCGCUGCCACCAAUUGAAGCGCCAACCGUUAUUGUAAAUGGUUGGCAGAUAUUAUAUAAAUAUCAAUUUUAAAGUCGAAGGAAUAAAACUGUUUUGAAGUCCAAACUUUGAAUAAUCAAGAAUAAGAUUUGUUGGAAUUAAAUAAAAGCAGCUUUAUUAAAAGCUAAUAUCAUAAAUAAUAAUUAUGAAUCAAUUACAAUAUAUCUAAAUAGAAUUGCAGUGUGUGCUACAAUAG
rnacentral:lncRNA from 1 species